ensembl:lncRNA
GUUGGUCGUGGUCCUGCCCGGAUCGGCUUAGGCGACGCCGGCAUGAAGGAGCGGGAAGCGGGCGGAAGAGGGAGUCACAGGACGGGUUUGGGCGGCCGCCCGGGGCCUGCUCAGAGGGGCCUGGCGCGCGCCGCUCGCUUCCGCCGGGGCUGUGGGGUCUCCCGGCAGGGCCAGGUCCUAGAGGCCGCUCGGCCGUCGUGCCCCGGGAGGAGCCGGAUCUGCAAUGGGGGUGAGGGCGCUUCUGUGGGGUCGCGUCAUCCUCUGUGCUCCUCCCUCCAAGGCUCCAAAGCAGCCUUGUGACUUUUCUCCAGGAGGAAGAGGAUUUCCGCUUUUCCGAGCCCCCAAGGGAAAAGAAUGCAAUGAACAAGUGACUUCAUUUCCGCUUCCUGCUUUGAUCCCGGAACAUGCAAGUCUUCGGCAUUCGAGUCAUCAGGGCAUCAUUUCCUGACUGAACCAUUUUGUGUCCUCUUUUCUGGCUCUUAUAUCACUCCAUUAGUACUUCUGGAACAGUGGUGAGCAAGAGAAAACAAGUGCACCACCAAAUGGAGGUGAAGAACAUCAACGUUUGAGUGGAUAAAUUUUGAGGAAACCACAUCAGCAGUUGAUUCAUCUUUGGCACAGAAGAGGCAACAACCGAACAACUACAAAAAUCCCACAAUAUAUUAAACAUUGAACAUACUCUCUUUUGGUUAAAGAAACAGAGCAUAGUCAAUAUGGCUCACACACUAGUGUCUUCCCUACUGUGCCAUCAUCCAUUUCAGGGACAUCUCCCAACUGUGCCACCAUUCAUUUCAGGGACAUCCUACAGGACAGGAGACAAGAUAAAAUUAG